rnacentral:lncRNA from 10 species
UGAGGAUAAAAAGAAAAGUAGAGUUGUUUGCAAUCUGAUUUGCGCUGGGUUUUGGAACCAGCAAUUGGCCACAGGCACACACACCCCCAAUCAGAGGCGCGCACCCCGCUCGCUCCCGGAACUGUCAUGCGGGCUGACAGCUGGCACACCCUCCUGUCGCCCUCCACCCGCCUGCAGAAAGCCCACUCCCUACAGUCACCUUGACAUUGCUCACCUGCCUGGGCCUCAGCCCAUGACCAAGGAAACUUUUGCCCUCCCUCCCCAGGAGCUCACUUACAGGCCAUCUUCAAAGGUACUGCCUACCUGAACCUGCCUUGUCCCAAAGGACACACUUCAAUCUGGGGAGAGUUUAAAGUUGUAGACAUAUCCAUUUUCAUUUAAGGAAUAUGAAGAUCAGGGAGGCAAAAUAUAGAGAUAUAGAGAGGAAAAACUGAGAGAUGAUCAGAAAUUCAGACGCAUUCGGAAUGAGCACCCUUGACCAUACCAAGAACAAAGACUCUAUAAAAAUGUGAAGUCUUAUUAUUGUUCAUCCAUGUUCUACGUGGGAUCCACCCAAGACAUUGAAAACUGUACAGAACAGGGUGAAAUUGAAUCAGAUCAUUCUGUACUCCUAACAAGGUCCACCCCAUGAGAGACUUGCAGCAGAAUUAAUGACACUGUAUAUUUUCCUCUACUAACAACAACAAGAACAACAACAACAACAAUCUAGGAAAAUCAAAGGCAGCCCGACAUGGAAAAAAACACAAAAUGAAUAUUUGGAUUACAAAUAGUGUGAUGGGAAGAACACACUGCCAAAAGUCCACCUAGUAUGUUGAAAUUACUGUUUCUAGCACAUAUAAGAUGAGGAAAAGGAAGAUCAAAAAGGUCAUAUCAUUUGCUUACAUAAACAGUGAUGAAAUUCAGAUUCAACCUUGGAACUUUGGAUCUCAUGCCCUGUCACAAACGGGACUUAGGAAACCAACUGGCUUUCAUCUAGAUAAGGUCUUGCUCUGUUGUCCAG